UAUAGUCUAAUGUACCAGAUUUAGACGGCCGUAUGUAGUUUAAUUUACAUUAACGAGAUGAAGCAAGCAAUCAAGUAACUAUGAAGAAGUUACUAGUUAGGGAGUUAUUUAACAUAAACAGAUAAAGUAUCUUCUUAUUCACUAAAACAUUAAAUUUCAGGGAGUUCAUAAUAAUUUCCCAUCCCAUUGAAACAACCAACUCAGGCAUCUUCCAGUUUAUAGUGUUCGCAAAACCCAAAACGACAAAACAGAAGUCAAUUUCGACAUGAGGAGACGCACACGGCACAAGUCAGCAACCGCAGUCAAAAUGACAAUAAACAACACAACAACUCGACUCUUCCCUCUUCCCUCUUCCCUCUUCCCUCUUCCCUUCCUCUGUCUUAAAUAUCCUGUCGUUUUCCGUACAAAUUAAAUUAGCUUUUGCUUUUGAAUUAUGAUUUGUGGUCACGACGCCGUUUUGGGGACGUAAUGAUGCCUUUCCAUUUUCUUUCUGUGGAUUCCAUUCCUUUUCUUUCUACUUGCUAAAACAACUUUCUCUCAUUCUUUUCUUUACCUGUACACUUUUUCUUCCUAAUCCUCUAUAUGAAAAGAAAGGAAAGUUAAUAAAAUUAUUUUAAAAAUGGAAUUAUAAAAAAAAAAUUACUAAAAAAAGCACUUUUUUCCUUAAGUACUUAUUAUUAGA
rnacentral:lncRNA from 1 species